GCCAGCCCUGUGGAGUGCCAGCCUGGCCUGGUGCCAGCCAGUCUACUGAAUAAACCUGCCCCUUACCUGAAUACAACGUGCGUGCUGGUGCUGUCCUU